rnacentral:rRNA from 1 species
UAUGUGAUCGUCUCUCGCAUAUCAAUAAGCGGAGGAAAAGAAACUAACAAGGAUUCCCCUAGUAACGGCGAGUGAAGCGGGAAGAGCUCAAAUUUGAAAUCUUAAAGGGUUUCCCUUUACGAAUUGUAGUUUAAAGAAGUGUUUUCUGUUGAGGUUUUGGUAAAAGUUCUUUGGAAUAGGACAUCAUAGAGGGUGAGAAUCCCGUAUUUGACCUUUACUUUCAACUUUGUGAUACACUUUCAAAGAGUCGGAUUGUUUGGGAAUGCAGUCCAAAAUGGGUGGUAAAUUUCAUCUAAAGCUGAAUAUUGGCGAGAGACCGAUAGCGAACAAGUACCGUGAGGGAAAGAUGAAAAGAACUUUGAAAAGAGAGUUAAACAGUACGUGAAAUUGUCGAAAGGGGAAGCGUUUGACACCAGUGUUGUUUUCUGAAAAUCAAUUAAAGAACUGUUUAUGCUAAGCUGUUUAGACUUUAUCAGCUAUCUGUUUAGUUUUGAGCUUUUCUUUAAUGCACUUUUCAGUUAACAAGUCAACAUCAAUUUCUUUUGCUGUAAAAAAGCUUGAGGAAGGUGGCUUGAGAUUCGUCUUAAGUGUUUAUAGCCUCUUGCCUAUGCAGUCGGAGAGAUUGAGGUCUGCAGCGUAGAUCCUUCGGGGCUAAAUGCAUUUGUGCUAAGUUAUAGCAUUUUAUAGACAACUUGUUGACUAUGAUUUGUCUUGUAGCUUACUCGCUUAUGUUAUUUUACCUACGCUUAGGAUGUUGAUCUGUAGUGCGUGCGC